rnacentral:rRNA from 1 species
UAGUCCACGCCGUAAACGAUGUCAACUAGCCGUUGGGAGCAAUUAAGCUCUUAGUGGCGCAGCUAACGCGAUAAGUUGACCGCCUGGGGAGUACGCCGGCAACGGUAAAACUCAAAUGAAUUGACGGGGGCCCGCACAAGCGGUGGAGCAUGUGGUUUAAUUCGAUGCAACGCGAAAAACCUUACCUACCCUUGACAUCCUCAGAACUUGUUAGAGAUAACUUGGUGCCUUCGGGAACUGAGUGACAGGUGCUGCAUGGCUGUCGUCAGCUCGUGUCGUGAGAUGUUGGGUUAAGUCCCGCAACGAGCGCAACCCUUGUCCCUAGUUGCCAGCACGUAAAGGUGGGAACUCUAGGGAGACUGCCCGUGUUUAAGCGGGAGGAAGGUGUGGGAUGACGUCAAGUCCUCAUGGGCCCUUACGGGGUUGGGGCUACACACGUGCUACAAUGGCAGUGACAAUGGGGUUAAUCCCAAAAAACCGUCUACAGUUCGGAUU